CUGAGCCAUUUCUCCAGCCCCCAUAAUUCUAUUUCUAAAGUGUCCUUUUCUUUCGAAAUAUACUUACAUAAAGUGUGGCCUUAACCAAAAAUUUUAAAUCUUGUUCUUCAGCAUUAGUUAUAUUCAAUUACUAUUGUCUUACAUUCAUGAUGUUCUAUCGUUAUUCUUCUGUUAUUCUUCUCUCAUUCAUUACAUCUCAAUUCCCUCCACCAAUUCCAUGCAGCUCUCCCAAUUAUCUCUCCUCUCACCCAGAUCCACACCUUUUCCCAUUAUGUUCAAAAGAGAGAGGGGGAGGAAAGGGACAGGGUAUAGGGAAAGGGGAAAGGGAAAGGGUGAGAGAGGUUACACAAGGAUGUGUCAACCAAACACCAUAAGUUAGCAUCAAAAGUUACGGUAAGACAAAACUGCUUAUUAAGACUGGCCGAAGAAACCAUCAGAGAUUUAAUUACUUCUGGAUGAAGUAAUUGAAAGUAUGCAUUAGGAUGGAUGGUAUAUUUACUUGUUAAAAAUUAUUUUUAAAACUCAUUUGUAAAUUAUUCUGAUGAGUGGAUUUAGAACCACAGCAAUUCGUAAAAGAUGCUGUCUAGAAAAUCCGACUGAUAUAAAACCACAUUAAAGCUGAGAAAGUCCUUUUCCUUUCUGUAUCCUCAACAACAGCAUGUAUCCGAUUGCAGCAAACUGAUCCAGUAAAUAGAAGGUCUACAGGAAAUGAGUUAUAAAAGCGCUGCGCAGUGUGUUGCCCCUCUCUUUCAGACCCUGGCUUCUGGCAAGAGAAAAUAUGGUGAAACUACAAAGACCAGAAAUCCUUUCGGUUUUCAACUUCCCUUGGAGCCAAGCCUGGGAGUGACACCCACUUCAUUCAAUUCCUGUGGUCGUGGGAACACUGGAAAGUGGUUUGUUUUCCCUUUUGUUACAUUCAGGAUUUCUUUGAUUGAAUCUUGUCUUCGCAAUAAUUACUGAUAAUACAAGUCUCGCCUUUAUUUUUUCCGUUAAUCUUGGAAUGCGGCUAAAAGAAGGAAGUGAACGAUUCAGAAUUAAUUGAGGGAUUACAGAAGUCACGAUUCAAUUCAAGACAUCGGGUCGAACACUACAAUCUUUGAAACAUUUGCAGUCGAGAAUUGGAGGGCAGUUAAUAAAUAUGCAAUUUCAUUCUUUUAUCUGCGGCCAUUCCCAUUGAUCAGAAUCAUUUAUUAAAAUUUUUAAAUUUUAUUAAACUAACAGAUAUCACUGUGGGAUUAUAUUGGCUACAUUUCUAAGGAAAAGUGACCCUCGUGCAUCAGGCAGUCAUCAGUGCUAAGGGAGCCCAGAUGAAGUAGAGAGUUGGACAUUCUAUCUUUGUGAAUAAUUGAUGGAAUUUUGAUGGGGAAUUGCACUGGAACUGCAGAUCGCUUUUGUAAACUAUAGAAGCGGAUGUCUGUACCAAAGAUGAAAGAUGAGAUUUGAGCUUGAACUUCAUCAAAAUGCAGGUUACAUUGUGAAAACAAGGAAGAGCAGAUCACAGGAGGUAGACACGCAAAAAUAUGAAUCUCAAGAUCAUCCUAAGCAAGUCUAUGAACUGACUGAGUCCAUUUCAAAGGAAAGCUUUGUACAAAUUUGGCAAUUAUUCUACAGGUGAGUAACACUCUUCCUCCAAAUAUUUAAGGUUCUCCUUUCUUUAUGUAAAAGCUUAACCUUCCAUCUAUAUCUUGUUUUUCCAAUUAUAAUUGAUAGAUAAUAUGUUUCAGUACUUCUAAAUUCAAAUGUGAGUUUUUUUUUAAUUUGAUAUAUUUUCUCUAAUUCUCAAUGUCAGCAUAAAAAAAUUGAAAUUUGAAGUCAAUAUACCUAAAUUAUUCUCUGUCACUGGAAUUUAUGAAACUGGUGCUUUAGAGAAGGGGAAAUGUCAGGCUAUGAUUUAAUCAGUGGAGAUCCUUAGGAGUCAGGGUGAUUAUGGAACCUAAGAAAGAAAAAUGUCCCAGACUAUAUAACUUGGCCUGACAGCUCAAUAUCUUUAUACUAUAAUUUAUGUCCAUGUUGUCUCCAAAUAAUAACACAGCUUAUGGACAAAGAGAGAAAUUUAGAUACCCUCACAUGAUUGUGAGAAAAUUGUCAGUCAUUCAUUUUGACAUUUCUUCCUGUAUAGGAUGUUUUUCUUUAUACUGUCAUUAAUUUCCAACCAUAGCUAAGUCUUGGAGAAUGUGGUGCAUAUAAUGAGGUUUUAUAGUUUUGUGUCAGUCCAUCAGGUCUUAUGUUACAGUCCUUGAACCAUUUGCAGUCGAGUUUAAGAUGGUAAUCGAUAAAGAUAUAUUUUCAUUCUUCUAUCUACAGUUUUCCAGGUUAAUAAGAAGCAUUUAGUAUGUUUUUCAUUUUUUUUAAAUGACUGUAUCAAUAUAGGAUUAUACAUUAUUCAUCCUUUCUAUUCAACUGAUCAAUGUAAUAUAUUGUUAUGACAUUUAAGUCGUAUCAUUUUAAAGUAGUAUCAUUGUUGUGUAUGAAGACUAUCAAAUUUUCUGCGUUAAACUCUAAUCCUAUCAACUUUGUGGGUGAAACAGUAACAAGAGAUUUCUAGUUGAAAAUUAAGGAUAACAUAUAUAUAUAUAUAUAUAUGUAUAUAUAUAAAAACAUCAUAUUCAAAUGAAGAUAACUUAACAUUCCCAUCUGUAUCACAUUUUACUUCUUCAACAUUUUUCUAUCGAUAAUUCUUGCAUUCCCUAAUACUGUGAUAAGUAAUGGAAUGAAUUUGUCUUGUUCCAAAGUAUUAUCAUUAAUACAUGUCUCCACUUACUAAAAUUUUGGCUUUUGUUAUAUAUUACCUAUAUUAAGUCAAUAUAUGUUCUCUAUAUCCUUACCAGUGGUAAUAUUUCUGAAAAAAUAAUUUGACACUUGCUCAUCCAGCAGCCAUCGAUGUUAAUUUCAUAUGAUCAAACUAUUGUCUCACUUCAUGAUUGAGAGAAGACGAUGCAUUUACUCACGGUAGGAACUGGAAGCAGGCGCUUAAACAGAAGUGUUGUUGCUGCUUACCAGUUUUCUUCCUGUGGGUAGUUCAGAAUCCUUCCUAAUACACACCAGGAUCACCUAAACAGGGACUAAAUUUUUCAAAGAAGAAAAAGUAGAUGAAAGUUACCAUGUUGUGACCUGUAAUUUCACAUUGGGAUUGAUAAACGUGGAGUACUUCUCUGAGGACACUUUGGAUUACACUAAUUAGAAGGAACCCUAGUCUGCAGUUUGUGAGUAUGUAUCAAAAAGUCACCAAAAGAAGUGAGUUUAAAUGAUGAUAUAAAUGAACAAAUAACUAAUUUAUCUGAGAUGUAAGUAGAGUAAAAUAUUUUCCAGUAACUAAAUAUUACAUGUUUGAACAAAAGGACAAUACAAAUCAAAUCAAUCAAAUGACUUUUAUGCUUUUCAAACCAUUGACACAUAGGAAUGUUGCUCUAAAUAGGAUGUAUACCCAGUGUGUUAUAGUUCCUGAGUUGAAAUCCCAGUGUUUCAGUGAAAAAAUAAUUUGACUCAUCAGUGAGCUGGCAGGUUAUAUAAAAUGAACUCUAGUAAAAACAAAGUUCCAUCCUGGAGUGUAUCAGAGCAGAAUGACUUGCACAAUUUUGCUCUGACCAAUAGAAAUGUAUCCUCUGAAGACUAACUUAAUUAAAUGUUAGUACCUAAAGAUGUAUCAAUAUGGAAUCUGUAUUAGUUUUUGAUUUACUAAUUUUUGAAAAUUGAUUUUUUUCAGACCAUAUAUUCUAAUCCCUCCUUACUUUGUUCUCCCUGAUAAUUUCUACCUCUACAUUGAUCUAAUUCCUCAUGUUCUCAUCCCACCCCUUAGAAAACAUGAAAAAAACAUAACCAUACGCAAACAGAACAAUCAAAGGAAUCAUGAAAUAUAAGAAAAAACACCAGAAGCACAUAGACACAUAUUUAUACAUGCUCACAGAGAAAAGCCCAGGAAAUUAUUAAAUUGUCAGUCAUAAUGUAUCAGAAAAUUACCAGCAUGGUUAAAAUAUAGUAAAUUAUGAAUCAAAAAAUUCAAACUUACCAUUGAUUUAUAUAAGUUAGAAUGAAGCCUUUGCUUGAGUGUGGAUUCUAUUCCUAUGAAACCGUACUGGAAAAAGUAGUUUUUAUAUUGGAAAAUGUGUUAAAUGGAGAGAGCUUCUUAGUGAGGUAGAUCAUAUUCAUUUUCCACUACUUGUGGUUGGACCUCCAAUAAUUUUGACCUGCAAAACCUGUGCAGAACCUGCACAUGGUUUCCUGGUUUAUAUGAGUCGAUAUGUGUAUCAGUCCUGCUCUAUCUGGACAUCAUUACUGACUUGCUUGCAUUCCUCCAGCACCACAGUGCCUUAUAAUAUUUCUACUGUGUCUUUUACAAAUCUUUCCUGAGCCAUGAAGGAAGAGAUAGGACAGCAGUGUAUCAUUUAUGAGAGUGUGAUCCAAAGUCUUUCACUCUGUAUAUUGUGCAGACAUGGUUCUCUUUACUUAGCCCAAUCUAUUGUAUAUGCUAGCUUUUGUGAUGACAGUAGAGCAAUAUACUGAUCUAUGCAUAUAACAGAAUGUUAUUAGGAAUCAUUUUGUAGCGACAUUUCUAUAGCAGGUAAUAAUACCUACCGUAAGCCUUAAACUCCAGUAUUUAGUCAUGAGAACAAUGGUAGAAAUGUGUUCUGUCUCACUGUGUAUGUCUCAAAUCCAGUCAGAUAGUGGUUUCUUACUCCCUUGAAAGCACCACUAUUGCAGCAGCUUAUCUUAUAGGCAGCUGACUGCGGUAGAUCAAAUAGUAUAGAGGUUGGUUGGCAUUUAAGUUUCUGCUCAGUAACCAUGCAGAAUUCAUUUCAGUAUGAGCAACACAAUUCAAAAGGUAAAGGUUUUAGUUAGGCACCUGCUUGUCUUCUCUACGUUCAAAAGAAA
rnacentral:sRNA from 1 species